AAUCGAGAGGAAAGAUUUGACUGAUUGCAGCCUCAUAAAAAUAAUUGCUAAAACAGGACUU
rfam:Chishuiella changwenlii strain DSM 27989 genome assembly, contig: Ga0131172_109